rnacentral:misc_RNA from 1 species
CGCUGUUCACGAAUCCAAAGACAGUUAAUCGAGAUUCUUCUCUAAUUGUCUGAUAUUGGUCGUUUAAGUUUAAGCUAUUGGCAUUCUAAGUUCAGUGUCCUAUCGACGCAAGGUUGCUCCCAAAUCGAAGCCCUCGAGACGUUGGUUAGGAUCUCCUGAUCCGAUCGUCCGGGUUGUCGGAGGGAAAGCGCGUUAUUUUUCUCUCCUCUUGUCCGGCCGAAACGGCCAUGAAGCGGGACACCAGUGGCCGAAAAAGGAGCCCAC